UACGAAGGGGGCUAGCGUUGCUCGGAAUCACUGGGCGUAAAGCGCACGUAGGCGGACUCUUAAGUCGGUGGUGAAAUCCUGGAGCUCAACUCCAGAACUGCCUUCGAUACUGAGAGUCUCGAGUCCGAGAGAGGUGAGUGGAACUGCGAGUGUAGAGGUGAAAUUCGUAGAUAUUCGCAAGAACACCAAUGGCGAAAGCAGCUCUCUGGGACGGUACUGACGCUGAGACGCGAAAGCGUGGGGAGCGAACGAGG
rnacentral:rRNA from 1 species